CAGCAACACAGAGAAAUCAACAUGAUCAGACGUCUUCUAAUUUUCGCUGUCUUUUUGCUAUCAGUGAGAGGUGUGCGGAGUAAUGUGGCUAUAACCCCCAAAAUUCUCUGGGGUAAUUUGGGGGACCUGGCCCUGAUGAACUGCAACCACACCUUGGGAGCAGCUUACAAUCGGAUGUACUGGUACAAACAGAACCCACCUGAGGGUAUUCAGCUCAUAGUGUUUACACUUCCCAAUACAAACCCUGAAUUUGGGGAUUUUAGCAAAGACAGGUAUGUGGCAGAGAAAGCUGUGGCUGAAAGAGGCUCUCUCACGGUGAAGAAGCUGGAGGCAGAAGACAGCGGCACAUAUUUCUGUGCAGUCAGUGAACACGGCCCUGCAGACUCAUUGGCUGGGUGAACAUAAACCUCCCCGUGCCAGUCUCACUGUGACAGGGGAGGAGCAGACCUGAAAGGAAGCCAAGAACACAAACGGCAGUGAGGCUCUCCUGCAGGGGGGUGUAAAGCUUCAUAAACGGACAGACAUGUCAUUUAAAAAAUUAAUUUUUCUCCUGUCUCCUCCUCCCCCCACCCCUUCCCCUCCAGAGAACAUCCAUGGGCAGCCAUGCAGCGUUCUUCUCUCUCUGGCUCUGAUGCAUCAAGAUGAUCAGACUUGUCCUCACAUUCACUGUGUCUCUGAUCUGUCUGGCAGCAGAACUGACACGAAGCAUCAAUGUUCAGCUGCUGCCCGUCAGACUUCUCAAAAACCCUGGGCAGUCCUCCGCUCUCAGCUGCAGCUGUGAUGACCCGAGCUACGUUCGCAUGUACUGGUACCAGCAGCCUGAAGGGGAAGGAAGGCUGAAGCUCAUUGGCACCCUUUACCGACAGAGCCUCACCCCUGGAGACCGUUUCAGUGACAGGUUUAAGAUAUCAGGAGACGCAACGAAAACAGGAACGCUGGAGAUAUCCAACCUGACGUCUGAAGAUGCUGCAGUUUAUUUCUGUGCCAUGAGCAUAGCACGUUGCUGCAGACGCCCCUCUCAUCUCUGCAGAAACCUCUUUCUUAGCUGCAAUCGCCCUUACA